GCAGAACGCGAAGAACCUUACCCAGGUUUGACAUCGAUGGCAACUCUAUGAAAGUAGAGCCUCUUCCCACAAGGAAGACCAGAAGACACUUGUUGCAUGGCUGUCGUCAGCUCGUGCCGUGAGGUGUACGGUUAAGUCCGCCAACGAGCGCAACCCUCGUCCUAUGUUACCAGCGAGUAAAGUCGGGGACUCAUGGGAGACCGCCGGUGUAAGCCGGAGGAAGGUGGGGAUGAUGUCAAGUCAGCAUGGCAGUUACACCUGGGGCUUCACACAUGCUACAAUGGGCGCAACAAAGGGCAGCAAUACCGUGAGGUGGAGCCAAUCCCAAAAAUACGUCCUCAGUUCAGAUUGUAGUCUGCAACUCGACUACAUGAAGGCGGAAUCGCUAGUAAACGCAGGUCAGCUAUACUGCGUUGAAUACGUUCCCGGGUCUUGUACACACCG
rnacentral:rRNA from 1 species